AGGGAGCAGUCAUCUUCUCUGAGAUUUUGCUAAGUUAUACCAUUGCAGAUUGGGAGUCACACCAACAGGGUUCAAGCACUGUUCAAGUGGUGGAGUGGAAGGAGGAUUUGGCUUGCUGCACUCUCAGCACCAUGAAAGAAAGAAAGUGGAGGAGGAUGAAGAGGGAAGCCUUUCUGAGAUGCUAUCAAAGGCUGCUAUGCCAAACCACAAAUGCACAAUCCAAGAGCACUGCCCUUAUUAAAGUGGAAUGAAACUCAGUGGACCAUAUUGAAUCAUCACUUAUUCAUGGCAGUUUUCUUUUUUAUGGCUUAUUUUAUAUAACCAAACCUAUGAUGUCUUCUGUCAUUUGGGAAAUAACUGGCAUCUAAUAGUACUCAUUGUUGUAUGAGGGCCACAUAUGUGUGCAAAGCCCCUACACUAGGAGUGAAAUAGGCAAACAGCCAAAACAAUCACAUUAAAUAUUAUUUUCUUCCAUAAAGCUAAAGAAAUUUAGACAUAUUUAAAAGUUACCUUUUAACUGAUGUGUUUUUUUGCAGAAAUACCAUUACAGGCAAUUCUCUGAUCGCAAAUUUGCUAUCACCAAAGUAGGUGUGUUUGCUCAGUGAAGAUGGGGAAUUUUAGCGUAUGAUAAAACAGGUAAGCAUUUUGUGUCACCUGUUUCUUAUGAGCAGGGAUCCUGGUCUUAUCUGUUUAAAAAUACUAAAUUAUC